CAAUAAAUGUGAGGAGAUGGCUAUAGUUCAGCAAGAAAAUGAACGUUUGUUGAAAGAACUCGAGCAGACUAAGGAAACGUUAUCAGAUGUCCAGGCGGAAUUGGAACAAAGCAAUCUACUUUUGACUGAUGCAAAUGAGAGACUUGACGUCAAGGAAGAGGAACUCGUGAAUCUAGAAGAAAAGUUAAUGAAAGGUAAUGGCCAGUUCGGGCAUCUUAACACAGAAUUACGUGAAGUUCAAAGUGGAUUUUAAACUAAUAUCAAAUUUAUUAUAUUCACGUUUUGUUUUGGUACGCCUACAAUGAAGCUGUCAAAUUCCUGACGGAGUGAUUUAUGGGAACUAAGUGUGACUCUGUGAGAUUGUAAUUGUGUCAACUGCUGAAGAAAUAAACCUUGUGAAAACUA